rnacentral:misc_RNA from 1 species
CCCCAGAAGUCCUUAAAUACAACAAUAACAAAUGCACUGCAGAUCAAUCUGUAACUCCCCAUUCCCCUCUCUGCGGUUGCUGAAAAGUGUGCUACGAAAUUUGAGUGAUUGAAAUUUGUUUGAUUAGAAAAUAAGCAAACAUCCAUCUCUGGAUUGGGUCUCCACUGAACCAGACAAUGUGUGUGUGUGUGCUCGAGGCCACAUUGUGCAAUAUUUAUUGUGCUUUAAGUGCACAUAUACGACACACAAAAACACACAAUAAAUAAAUAUAUACGGACACAGUAAUGUGUAAUUCUGUUCUUGUGAAUGGAAAGUCCUGCACAUAAUAAACAACUGCGAAAGCAAUGCAGCAUGCUACACUCAAAGCAGUCGAAGGCGAGGCGUCGUUGGAAGGCGAGCAAAGGGGCAGCUUCGGCCAAGUAAACAGAGCCAGCCCGCGGCAAGCCCAGGACGGAACACAAGUCUGAGGCAGAGGCAGAGGCAAAGGCAGUGGCAGAAGGCAGGCCAAGAAAAAUGAGAAAAAAUACAAUAAAAAUUACUGAACCGAAUACAUCAUAAUGUUUAUGUCAAAAAUGAACAGCAGCAACAGCAACAACAACAACAUAAAAGCGCCAAGCCACGGCAUGCCAGAAGGCCAGGCCAAGGAGCUCGGCCAUCCAGCUGGCCAGGCCAAGAUGCAUUUCCUGUCCCCAGGCUGAGGGCAGUCGGUUGUGGUCUUUGUUCCACGGAGCUGCAGCCACGACCGGCCUCCCAGUUAGAUGUUGUGGCCCACUCUGAAAGGGAUAUGUUCAACAUGCACCCACACUACAUAAUUGUGCUGGUUGCUGGUUGCUGUUGCUGGGGCAGCAUCAAAAUUGAUUAUGGGGCAGCUGGGGCAGCCAAGGUAUGUGUGUGUGUGUGUGUGUGUUCGGGGAAUCCAGAACUAGCAAAGCAGAAAACUGUGCUGCCAAGACGGAAUAGUGAAGUCUGUUGCCUCAACCGCCCUGCAUUCGGGUUUAUUUUCUACAUAAACUUUUAUCAACGAGCAAAAGCCAGUCUCUUACAAGGUUUUCUUCCCAUCGACUGGCAGGCCGCUUAAAGGGCA